UUAUAAAGUAAGCUAACUAAGCUAAUGGGUUCAUACCCCAUAUAUGAUCUCUCCUUUAUUAA
rnacentral:tRNA from 1 species